UUGAGAGUGGGUAGUCUUUUAUUACUUUUUCUUUUCUUUUUUUUAAUAUUAUUUUUUGUUACCGUUGGAAGAAGAGAGUUUUCUUUUAUUUUCAUUUUUUAAAAUUAUUAUUCAAUUUAUUUCUAAAUUCUGAUUGGAUAAUAACAUGUACAUGGAUUGUGAACUUAGACCCUUGAUUAAUUUGAAUCAACGAUUCAGAUUGAAUCAAAGAAGCACACCAAGA
rnacentral:lncRNA from 1 species